rnacentral:rRNA from 1 species
CCGAUUGAAUGGCUCAGUGAGGCCUUGGGACUGGCUCAGAGAGGUCGGCAACGACCACUCAGAGCCGGAAACUUGGUCAAACUUGGUCAUUUAGAGGAAGUAAAAGUCGUAACAAGGUUUCGUCUUCAAGUGAUGAAGAUGAUCAUAUUAAUGAUCCUUCUGCAGUAAAACUUACGGAAGCCUUUGCGUCCCGAAAGGGUCGGUCUCGUACGACUAUAAACGAAUAACGACGAGCCAUAAUCGCAAGUCUGGCCUUCAGGGGCUGGGCAACACUGUCAAAUUGCGGGAACCCCCUAAAGUCUCUUACACUAAGCCAUGGCCGAAAGGUCGCGGUGGCCAGGGUAAUGCCCUCGGGUAUAGUCACAGCUAAGAGAAUAGAUCGCCUGUUCUAGGCGUGAAAAUGGGCAAUCUGCAGCCAAGUCCUAAGCCCGCCGAGUCGGUGGGUAUGGAUGCAGUUCACAGGCCAAAUGGUAGUGGGUGAGGCGAUGCCUUGCUUAAGAUAUGGUCGGGCCCCUUGGGAAACCUUGGGGAUAAUUUACUGAAUUUCACACCAUGUUGGGAGAGGCGCUCUGUGCACGGAAAAUUUGUGAGAAAGAAUAGUAUUGAUGCUAUGCUAAAAACUGGUGAUAUCAUCAAUACUAUCUAACUCUACCCAAAAAUUUGGGUCGCACAGGCAUGGCCGGGCCGAAUGCACCGCCAGGCAAGCAACAUUUCUGCUGCUUGCCCAGCGGGCAAAGUCGGCCACGGACCAGCCCGGGUCUCUAACCAGACCCACCUUCCCACCGCCACAACAUUUCCUCAAAAUAGAGGGCGCACAAUUUCCUUGUCUGAUUAAUGAUAUUGUGUUCCUGGCACAGGAACAGGGGAUUGAUGUUUCUGUGGCGGUCUGGUCAGCUGCGCUGCAUGGCUCAUGUGUUCGAUUUCCCGCAUACCUCGAUGUAUUUUUGCCGAGAUAUAAUAUGUGGGAAAUAUCCAUGGCCGGUACAAUGUUGUUAUAAUGUUGCUGAUAUGUGAUGCGAUGUGUAAGAUAUUUUGUACCGGAAAUGCGAACUGUGGGCGUGUCAGCGGCUGGUUGACUUGGGGACAUGGUGUUGUGGGAAGACAGGACAAGGUGACAUACUUUGGGAAUAACCAUGAUGUGUAUUUGCAUAAGGAGUAAAAACAGGAACAUUUGGCCAUUGGCCGAGGGCGAUGCCAGCGACUUGCUGGGUCGAGAGGUGCGCAUUCGCGCCGCGAAAACCGGGAGCAGCGACAAUCUGCCGCAGAGCGGCAAGCAGGGCCGCAGCCGAGAGGGAUUCCACCGCCAUGGUGGAUGAGGCAGCGUGAAAAGAAAUCAAGUUCAAAAUGCUGAACAGAAGUCCUUUUCAUCUUUUGCUUCGUCUUCGCUCCUGCCCUUCCCUUCCACCUGUCCACCUCUCAUGGCAGGAACAGUUCCUGCACGCUCCAUAUGGCAAGAACACACUCACACUUAGUUUCCACGUGUCCACCCUUUCCAUGUCUGUCCACAUGUAUAAAGAACCGUUCCGUAGGUGAACCUGCGGAAGGAUCAUUA